AUGCCCAGAUUGUAUCUAAAAAUUUUCUCUAAUGUUCUACUUGUUUAUAGAUCAAAUCCUUACCUGAAUCAUAGUGGAACUAUGAAUCAAAUCCCAAAUUAUCUGAUAUAAACCUUCACGGAGGCUUGGAUAUGCAGAUCUUUUAUUUCGCAUGCACGUCAAACGCUACAGGAAAGCAAGAUGAACUCCAAGCCAAUUGACUUUGCAACUCAAUCAAUCGAGGGAUGAGAUGUGAUGAUGUGACACCUCACACCAACAGAUGGGAUGCCCAAGAAGGAUCCAUAUCCAAGGAGAGA
rnacentral:lncRNA from 1 species